rnacentral:rRNA from 1 species
GGUUAAGCGACUAAGCGUACACGGUGGAUGCCCUGGCAGUCAGAGGCGAUGAAGGACGUGCUAAUCUGCGAAAAGCGUCGGUAAGGUGAUAUGAACCGUUACAGCCGGCGAUGUCCGAAUGGGGAAACCCAGUGCAAUUCGUUGCACUAUCGUUAACUGAAUACAUAGGUUAACGAGGCGAACCGGGGGAACUGAAACAUCUAAGUACCCCGAGGAAAAGAAAUCAACCGAGAUUCCCCCAGUAGCGGCGAGCGAACGGGGAGCAGCCCAGAGUCUGAAUCAGCUUGUGUGUUAGUGGAACGGUCUGGAAAGUCCGACGGUACAGGGUGAUAGUCCCGUACACCAAAAUGCACAGGCUGUGAACUCGAAGAGUAGGGCGGGACACGUGGUAUCCUGUCUGAAUAUGGGGGGACCAUCCUCCAAGGCUAAAUACUCCUGACUGACCGAUAGUGAACCAGUACCGUGAGGGAAAGGCGAAAAGAACCCCGGCGAGGGGAGUGAAAAAGAACCUGAAACCGUGUACGUACAAGCAGUGGGAGCACCUUUAUGGUGUGACUGCGUACCUUUUGUAUAAUGGGUCAGCGACUUAUAUUCUGUAGCAAGGUUAACCGUAUAGGGGAGCCGCAGGGAAACCGAGUCUUAACUGGGCGUUAAGUUGCAGGGUAUAGACCCGAAACCCGGUGAUCUAGCCAUGGGCAGGUUGAAGGUUGGGUAACACUAACUGGAGGACCGAACCGACUAAUGUUGAAAAAUUAGCGGAUGACUUGUGGCUGGGGGUGAAAGGCCAAUCAAACCGGGAGAUAGCUGGUUCUCCCCGAAAGCUAUUUAGGUAGCGCCUCGUGAAUUCAUCUUCGGGGGUAGAGCACUGUUUCGGCUAGGGGGUCAUCCCGACUUACCAACCCGAUGCAAACUACGAAUACCGAAGAAUGUUAUCACGGGAGACACACGGCGGGUGCUAACGUCCGUCGUGAAGAGGGAAACAACCCAGACCGCCAGCUAAGGUCCCAAAGUCACAGUUAAGUGGGAAACGAUGUGGGAAGGCACAGACAGCCAGGAUGUUGGCUUAGAAGCAGCCAUCAUUUAAAGAAAGCGUAAUAGCUCACUGGUCGAGUCGGCCUGCGCGGAAGAUGUAACGGGGCUAAACUGUGCACCGAAGCUGCGGCAGCGACACUAUGUGUUGUUGGGUAGGGGAGCGUUCUGUAAGCCUGCGAAGGUGGCCUGUGAGGGUUGCUGGAGGUAUCAGAAGUGCGAAUGCUGACAUAAGUAACGAUAAUGCGGGUGAAAAGCCCGCACGCCGGAAGACCAAGGGUUCCUGUCCAACGUUAAUCGGGGCAGGGUGAGUCGACCCCUAAGGCGAGGCCGAAAGGCGUAGUCGAUGGGAAACAGGUUAAUAUUCCUGUACUUGGUGUUACUGCGAAGGGGGGACGGAGAAGGCUAUGUUAGCCGGGCGACGGUUGUCCCGGUUUAAGCAUGUAGGCGGAGGUUCCAGGUAAAUCCGGUACCUUUUAACGCUGAGGUGUGAUGACGAGGCACUACGGUGCUGAAGUAACAAAUGCCCUGCUUCCAGGAAAAGCCUCUAAGCAUCAGGUAACAUUGAAUCGUACCCCAAACCGACACAGGUGGUCAGGUAGAGAAUACCAAGGCGCUUGAGAGAACUCGGGUGAAGGAACUAGGCAAAAUGGUGCCGUAACUUCGGGAGAAGGCACGCUGAUAUGUAGGUGAAGCCCCUGCGGGUGGAGCUGAAAUCAGUCGAAGAUACCAGCUGGCUGCAACUGUUUAUUAAAAACACAGCACUGUGCAAACACGAAAGUGGACGUAUACGGUGUGACGCCUGCCCGGUGCCGGAAGGUUAAUUGAUGGGGUUAUCCGUAAGGAGAAGCUCUUGAUCGAAGCCCCGGUAAACGGCGGCCGUAACUAUAACGGUCCUAAGGUAGCGAAAUUCCUUGUCGGGUAAGUUCCGACCUGCACGAAUGGCGUAAUGAUGGCCAGGCUGUCUCCACCCGAGACUCAGUGAAAUUGAACUCGCUGUGAAGAUGCAGUGUACCCGCGGCAAGACGGAAAGACCCCGUGAACCUUUACUAUAGCUUGACACUGAACAUUGAGCCUUGAUGUGUAGGAUAGGUGGGAGGCUUUGAAGCGUGGACGCCAGUCUGCGUGGAGCCAACCUGAAAUACCACCCUUAAUAUGUUUGAUGUUCUAACGUUGGCCCCUUAUCGGGGUUGCGGACAGUGUCUGGUGGGUAGUUUGACUGGGGCGGUCUCCUCCCAAAGAGUAACGGAGGAGCACGAAGGUUAGCUAAUCCUGGUCGGACAUCAGGAGGUUAGUGCAAUGGCAUAAGCUAGCUUGACUGCGAGCGUGACGGCGCGAGCAGGUGCGAAAGCAGGUCAUAGUGAUCCGGUGGUUCUGAAUGGAAGGGCCAUCGCUCAACGGAUAAAAGGUACUCCGGGGAUAACAGGCUGAUACCGCCCAAGAGUUCAUAUCGACGGCGGUGUUUGGCACCUCGAUGUCGGCUCAUCACAUCCUGGGGCUGAAGUAGGUCCCAAGGGUAUGGCUGUUCGCCAUUUAAAGUGGUACGCGAGCUGGGUUUAGAACGUCGUGAGACAGUUCGGUCCCUAUCUGCCGUGGGCGCUGGAGAAUUGAGGGGGGCUGCUCCUAGUACGAGAGGACCGGAGUGGACGCAUCACUGGUGUUCGGGUUGUCAUGCCAAUGGCAUUGCCCGGUAGCUAAAUGCGGAAGAGAUAAGUGCUGAAAGCAUCUAAGCACGAAACUUGCCCCGAGAUGAGUUCUCCCUGACUCCUUGAGAGUCCUGAAGGAACGUUAAAGACGAUGACGUUGAUAGGUCGGGUGUGUAAGCGUAGCGAUACGUUGAGCUAACCGAUACUAAUGAACCGUGAGGCUUAACCUUACAACGCCGAAGGUGUUUUG